rnacentral:rRNA from 1 species
CCUACGGGGGGCAGCAGUGGGGAAUAUUGCACAAUGGGCGAAAGCCUGAUGCAGCAACGCCGCGUGAGCGAUGAAGGUCUUCGGGUCGUAAAGCUCUGUCCUAAGGGAAGAAUACUGACGGUACCUUAGGAGGAAGCCCCGGCUAACUACGUGCCAGGAGCCGCGGUAAUACGUAGGGGGCUAGCGUUAUGCGGAAUUACUGGGCGUAUAGGGUGCGUAGGCGGCCCUUCAAGUCAGAGGUGAAAGGAUACGGCUCAACCGUAGUAUGCCUUUGAAACUGUAGGGGGUGAGUGCGGGAGAGGAAGGGGGAAUUCCCAGUGUAGCGGUGAAAUGCGUAGAUAUUGGGAGGAACACCAGUUGCGAAGGCGGCUCUCUGGACUGUAACUGACGCUGGGGCACGAAAGUGUGGGGAGCGAACAGGAUGAGAUACCCCGGUAGUC